GGGAGAUCUCCGCCGUCGAAGACCCAGAUGGCUCGGAGUGUUCCUGUUGGCCGGGAAACCUGCCUUGCUAUCAGUCGGGCAGCAGCAAGUGUGUGAUGGCGUUGAGACCUCUUUCCCUCCUGCCGUCCCUUAGGUGACUUCCUGUGUUUGGAGGACAUGGAUGGUUCUGGAGGGGUGGAGAUUCUCUCUGGUGUUGCUGAGGAACAUGAUAACUCCUGGCUUUCCUCCCUGUCCUCCAUCCUAAAGGAACACACACACACACUUGAAAUGACUCCCUGGGAUUGAAACUAUAGAUAUCAUUGGUUGGUUAACCGCAUAUAGUGCAGUAGAGUGACUUGUGUCACAAUGUAGCUAGCUAACAACACCAUGCAAAUUGAGGCUACAGGGCAAACUAAUCAUAGUGGGCAGAACAAGCAUUGAGGUGGGCAGGGCCAAAAUAGUGAGAUCCUAUUGGCGUGUUCUAGAGAACGCCUACCCGCCAUCCAUCACAGGAUCCUUCUGAGCCUGUGUAGGGACCUGAUUAAAACAGAAAGGCAGGCUGAUUUAGUUUAAUUAACAUUUCAUUACUGAUAGUUUGUAUGGAUUUUUUUUACCGUGCAUUUUUUGGUGGGGGAUCCUUGUUAUCCACCUGUACAAUAGGUGGCGGAAUGCCCAUAUAAUUGUUGCGAACGCCAUUAUACCAAAGAAGAAGACGCAAAAGAGAACGCCUAUUGGCUGUGAGCUUUGUGGAAGUUACCUGUGGAGCUGAUGUUUAGGCCAAGGGAGACACCUCCCUCUUGGGCUAGCACCUCACCAGGCACCACGUCUGUCUGCUAGUCCAGAUCGCCCGCUGGUCCGACGACCGCCUCCUCUGGCCUGUGGUGGUUCUGACUGGGCUAGACCACUACUGGACCACCAACAACCUGGGUCAUGUUCCCGGUCCGACUGAGACCACUUUUCUCUGGGGUGAAGUUAGAGAUCUAGGAUCAGCUUCCCGGGCUCCCCCAAUCCUGA
rnacentral:lncRNA from 1 species